UGGCCAAGGAGCCCUGCCGUUCUCGCACUGGUGCAGUAAUAAUUCACAGGACUCUUCUCUCUCCUCCUUUCUCUGCUUAGGCGCAACUGACCGAUUACUUUUGGAGACCAGAGGAGAAAGACACAGCCUUGCCAGCUAGAAGAUGCUUAGAAAGACGGAAGACUCACCCACAUGCCAGUAGUUCACUAACUAGCCUUUCCUCAAACAGCCAGACCAUAGGAAGAAUUAAGUCCCCCAAAAGCCCUUCUUGGUGAUGUCUGUGGAGGGGGUAAUUGUACCUGUGAGAUUUUUCACCUGGAGACCAAGGGUGGCCUCUUAGGUCCUGGGCAUAGUCAGAAAUGUGCCUUCCCCUGUGUGAGAAUACAGAGAGCCAGGAAGAACAAAACAGUGUAAUUUAUCUCCGAAUCCCUGUAAGGCCUGCUGUACAGUUCCACAGAAUGAAGUAAAUGUAACAACUACAAAUAAGCCAGCCUUGUAUAGAUCCACGGCAUUGAACUGAGACGGCCCGGCUGGCAGGAUGGUGCAAUAGGUUGAGGUACUUGCUACCAAGCCUCAAGUGAGAUCUCAGGAGCCGUGUGGUGGAUAGAGAAAACUGACUCCUGAAAGUUGCUCUUUAAUCUCCACAUGCACGCCAAGGCUCAAGAAAGUGCUCAGGUACACACAUGUCUGUAUACAUACACACUUGUGCCUGCACACACACACACACACACACCUAUGACACACUUUGAAUAAAAAAAAAAUAAUGAUUUUUUUUUUUCUUUUUGAGUCCAGAUCUCAGUAUGUGGCACUGACUGGCCUGGAUUUCCCUUAUAGACCAGGUCAGACUUAACUAGUAGAGAUCUGCCUGCCUCUGCCUCCUAAGUGCUGGGAUUAAAGGUGUGUAAUACCAUAUCUGACUGAAAAAGUAAAUAAGU
rnacentral:lncRNA from 1 species